GACGAACGCUGGCGGCGUGCUUAACACAUGCAAGUCGAACGGUAAGGCCCUUCGGGGUACACGAGUGGCGAACGGGUGAGUAACACGUGGGUGAUCUGCUCUGCACUUCGGGUUAAGCCUGGGAAACUGGGUCUAAUACCGGAUAGGACCACUGCCUGCAUGGGUGGUGGUGGAAAGCUUUUGCGGUGUGGGAUGGGCCCGCGGCCUAUCAGCUUGUUGGUGGGUGAUGGCCUACCAAGGCGACGACGGGUAGCCGGCCUGAGAGGGUGACCGGGCAGACGGGGACUGAGAUACGGGCCAGAGUCCUACGGGAGGCAGCAGUGGGGAAUAUUGCACAAUGGGCGCAAGCCUGAUGCAGCGACGCCGCGUGAGGGAUGACGGCCUUCGGGUUGUAAACAUCUUUCAGCACCGACGAAGCGCAAGUGACGGUAGGUGCAGAAGAAGGACCGGCCAACUACGUGCCAGCAGCCGCAGUAA
rnacentral:rRNA from 1 species